rnacentral:rRNA from 1 species
CGCGUAGGAACCUACCUAAUAGUUUGGGAUAGCCAUUGGAAACGAUGAUUAAUACCGGAUACGCCCCACGGGGAAAGCAGAGGACCUUCGGGCUUUGCGCUAUUAGAUGGGCCUGCGUGAGAUUAGCUAGUUGGUGGGGUAAUGGCCCACCAAGGCGACGAUCUCUAGCUGGUCUGAGAGGAUGAUCAGCCACACUGGAACUGAGACACGGUCCAGACUCCUACGGGAGGCAGCAGUGGGAAUAUUGCACAAUGGGCGAAAGCCUGAUGCAGCCAUGCCGCGUGUGUGAAGAAGGCUCUA